rnacentral:rRNA from 1 species
CCCGCACAAGUAGCGGAGCAUGUGGUUUAAUUCGAAGCAACGCGAAGAACCUUACCUAAGCUUGACAUCCCAAUGACAUCUCCUUAAUCGGAGAGUUCCUUUCGGGGACAUUGGUGACAGGUGGUGCAUGGUUGUCGUCAGCUCGUGUCGUGAGAUGUUGGGUUAAGUCCCGCAACGAGCGCAACCCUUGUCUUUAGUUGCCAUCAUUAAGUUGGGCACUCUAGAGAGACUGCCAGGGAUAACCUGGAGGAAGGUGGGGAUGACGUCAAAUCAUCAUGCCCCUUAUGCUUAGGGCUACACACGUGCUACAAUGGGUAGUACAGAGGGUUGCCAAGCCGUAAGGUGGAGCUAAUCCCUUAAAGCUACUCUCAGUUCGGAUUGUAGGCUGAAACUCGCCUACAUGAAGCUGGAGUUACUAGUAAUCGCAGAUCAGAAUGCUGCGGUGAAUGCGUUCCCGGGUCUUGUACACACCGCCCGUCACACCACGGGAGUUGGAGACGCCCGAAGCCGAUUAUCUAACCUUUUGGAAGAAGUCGUCGAAGGUGGAAUCAAUAACUGGGGUGAAGUCGUA